AUAUACACUCCCCAAUCUGGUUCUUUUAACUAUUUUGAACUACAACUCUCAUAAACUCCAACCAUUGUCCAGGCUAUCUCUACCUCAUAGUAGCUGUAGUGUGACAUAUCUGAAAGAUACCUGAGGAGGGAGGUCUUUCAGAUCUGACAGACAAGAGCUCUCCAGGCAUUUUCCAUCACCUGCUACCUGAUAUUUUUAAAAUCAGAACUGUGAGGAACUUAAUCUUCUGCAUGCAAAGCAUGUACAUUACCUUAGAGCUACAGUCUCUACCCAGGCCUGGAAAACAGAGUUUGCAACCUGCAUAGCAACAUUAUGAAGAAGAGAGAGGCAUGAAUUCAUGUCUGAAUGGGGCAGCUGAAGUGCUACUUUUUUUUUUUUUUACCUCUGGUGGAGGGCCUUAGGACUUCACUUUGGGCAGAAAAAUGCCAUGGGCCAAAUAUUGUUGCCAAAGGAACACGGGAUAGUUUUUGUGUUUUUGUAUCCCUCAGCCAUAUUUGGUCACUGUCACCUGCCUUUUUUGUGACUACAGACUUUCAAACAACUAUAUGGUAGAAAGUUUGUCUCAAGUGAGUUGGGAGUUUCAGUUUGCUAGAUCUGUCAUAAUAAAUUAAUUACAGGA